UCAUUUAAUCAUCACAACAAUUCUAUGACGUAGGAAUUCUUCUUUCUGCUUUACAGGCACCAAAGAAGGCCCAGAGAGGUUUAAGAACUUCCUCAGAACCACACAGCUUCCAAAUGGUUGGGCUGGGUUUACAUUCAGGCGGUCUUGCUCCAGAGCCAGUGCUCCCAACCAUUGCAAGCCACGAACCUCAACAAAGUGGAGAAGGAAACGCUGGGAAAUUUGGAAGUCAGACAUGGCAAGAAUAAGUUCUAUUAUCUCCACCCUCUGGAUGAGGAAACUGAAGCAUAAACACUUGCUAAGAUGAAAGGGGUAGUGACCCACUGGAGGAGGGACUUGAGGAAGAGGACACCAAGUGUGACCAAGAGAGUGUUGGAACCAUGAACCAGAACCUGAAGUGGAAGGCAUCCUGGUGCUUCUGUACCUGUGUUACCAGUAUCUUCCCUUGUCUGCUGUGAGCUUUCUCAACGCCCAUCCUACUCAUUCAGUAAGCCCUCAGACUUCAGACUGGAGCAGAACACAGGUAAAUUUCCUGGGCCACUGUAGACCUGGCCAC